rnacentral:SRP_RNA from 1 species
CCGUGCUAGGCGGGGAGCUAGCGGUGCCCUGUACCCGCGAUCCGCUACAGCGGGGCUGAACUCCCGCCCGCGACCCAAUCCUCGGGGGACUGCGGCGUCGAUCUGGCGAUGAAGGACGGGUCCUGCGCGGCGGAAGCCCACGAACCCCGUCAGGUUCGGAAGAAAGCAGCGGUAAGUGGUGCGUCGUAAGCUGCGGGGUAGGGCCAACGGCGGGUGCACGG